rnacentral:tRNA from 1 species
GCUGCGAUGGCCGAGUGGUUAAGGCUAUGGACUCGAAAUCCAAUGGGAUAUUCCCGCGCAGGUUCGAAUCCUGUUCGCAGCG